rnacentral:tRNA from 1 species
CGUUAGGUGACUGAAAGAAAGUGCCGGUCUUUUAAACCUGUGAUAGUAUAUACGCCCUACUUCUAACGA